UACGGGGGGGGCAAGCGUUGUUCGGAAUUACUGGGCGUAAAGGGCUCGUAGGUGGCCAACUAAGUCAGACGUGAAAUCCCUCGGCUUAACCGGGGAACUGCGUCUGAUACUGGAUGGCUUGAGUUUGGGAGAGGGAUGCGGAAUUCCAGGUGUAGCGGUGAAAUGCGUAGAUAUCUGGAGGAACACCGGUGGCGAAGGCGGCAUCCUGGACCAGCACUGACGCUCAUGCACGAAAGCGUGGGGAGCAAACAGG
rnacentral:rRNA from 1 species